UUUUAAGUGUUCUUCAGUCCGACAAAUUUCUCCAUUCAUUAUCUGGAUGAAUAUUACUGAAUCUUCACAAUUGGGCUAGACCAAGAUUGUGGAUACCUCUUGGUGGAUACCUUCAUUGAGGGAACUGACACAUGAGCAUCCUCAAGCAGUUGGUCACCUUCCCACCUGAAAUCUAGGCCAUGCUCACUCUGAAGGAAUUGCCUGCACAUGUUGGUAGAGGACACAUUUUGUUCUUCUGCCAUGACUCAUACAGACUGGAAGAUGACAGGGUGAGAAACAUCAGACUAAGUGUGGUUUUAAAUGUUAUUCAUUUUAAAUUCCUUGGAAAAUCACUCUAUUCAUUAAAUAUGAAUGAUUUUCUAAUUAUCAAGUAAACAAUUUCUUUACCAG
rnacentral:lncRNA from 1 species